UACGUAGGUGGCAAGCGUUGUCCGGAUUUACUGGGCGUAAAGAGCGCGCAGGCGGUCGUUCAAGUCGCGUGUGAAAGCCCCCGGCUCAACUGGGGAGGGUCACGCGAUACUGAUCGACUCGAAGGCAGGAGAGGGAAGUGGAAUUCCCGGUGUAGUGGUGAAAUGCGUAGAUAUCGGGAGGAACACCAGUGGCGAAGGCGACUUCCUGGCCUGUAACUGACGCUGAGACGCGAAAGCGUGGGGAGCGAACCGG
rnacentral:rRNA from 1 species